UACAGAGGUCCCAAGCGUUGUUCGGAUUCAUUGGGCGUAAAGGGUGCGUAGGCGGCGCGGUAAGUCGGGUGUGAAAUCUCGGGGCUUAACUCCGAAACUGCAUUCGAUACUGCCGUGCUUGAGGACUGGAGAGGAGACUGGAAUUUACGGUGUAGCGGUGAAAUGCGUAGAUAUCGUAAGGAAGACCAGUGGCGAAGGCGGGUCUCUGGACAGUUCCUGACGCUGAGGCGCGAAGGCUAGGGGAGCAAACGGG
rnacentral:rRNA from 1 species